rnacentral:rRNA from 1 species
CCUACGGGUGGCAGCAGUGAGGAAUAUUGGUCAAUGGACGAGAGUCUGAACCAGCCAAGUAGCGUGAAGGAUGACUGCCCUAUGGGUUGUAAACUUCUUUUAUAUGGGAAUAAAACGUUUCACGUGUGGGAUUUUGUAUGUACCAUAUGAAUAAGGAUCGGCUAACUCCGUGCCAGCAGCCGCGGUAAUACGGAGGAUCCGAGCGUUAUCCGGAUUUAUUGGGUUUAAAGGGAGCGUAGGUGGAUUGUUAAGUCAGUUGUGAAAGUUUGCGGCUCAACCGUAAAAUUGCAGUUGAAACUGGCAGUCUUGAGUACAGUAGAGGUGGGCGGAAUUCGUGGUGUAGCGGUGAAAUGCUUAGAUAUCACGAAGAACUCCGAUUGCGAAGGCAGUUCACUGGACUGCAACUGACACUGAGGCUCGAAAGUGUGGGUAUCAAACAGGAUUAGAUACCCCUGUAGUC